GGUCGCUCUCUUCGACUUCACUCGCAUCCCUAGAAAAGAAAUCACUAAUAUAAGCAUGAAAGGAAUCAAUCACAAGUAAUGAUUUUGGAUUCAAUUGAUUAUACAUCCGUAGGAGAUCUAGGAUUUGAGCAUAAAAAGAACAAACCCACAUAAAUGUGAGUGAAAAUGAGAACAGAGAGUGAGUGAGAUAUGAAAAAGGAGAAACCUUUCUUGAUGAAAAGCGAGAGCAGAGUUAGGAUCGAGACCAGACUAAGAGAGAUAAGUCUCCACAUCUUGGAUGAAUUUGGCGGCAGGAAUUCCUCUUCUCUCAGUCAAAUCGCUACCACUUUCACUCGGAGAAGAGGAAGACAUCUUCAAAUUGGAUUCCGAUUUGGGGAUUUAGGAUUUUAAAAGCUUUGACUUGGUUUCUCGAUUGUUUUCGAAUCUAUCGACUUUGGGACGAGAGAGUGAACCAGCGAGCGACGGACCAAGAGUCGGAAAUACGACGUCCCUGUUACUAUCUCCUUUCGUCCCCGUUACCAAAUACGUGAGCUUCGGAAUCUUCGAUAUUCUGGAUAAGUUCCGAUUUGGAGCUAAACAGAAGGAUGGAUCUGAUGGUUUUCGAGAAGUUAGUGUUAAACCCAAAAGGAACAAGAGGAAAACACUGAAGAUUGAAAUCGCUGGUCGAGAAUAAGAACGAGGAGAAGAAAUGUGAGAUCUUUUCAUGAUUCGAUUUUAAUUCCACGAAUUCAUCAUCUAAUUUUGGCUCCCGUACUUAGAAUUCAAACCCAUAGAUAUUCUUCUCUCUCUCACUAUGGUUGUUUGAAAUUAGAGGAUUUCGUAAAAGAAUCAAAAUUAAAAACAAAUGUGAAUUGGAGAUAUAAUUUCCAAUUAAUUUUUGAACCCAGAAUUGUACAUUUUUUAUUAUCUAUAAAAGUUACAGAUGAAAAUGAAGGCUUAGAGAAGAGAGGAAUGGAUCUGACGAAAUGUCUAAAAGAAAAAGAAAAAUAAUUUAUUUUAAUUAAAAUGGCAUAGUUGUAAAUAAAAUGGUUAGUUGAGGGUUUGGAAGUCACCGAAAUAGUAAUGUACAUUGGCACAUGGGAAUAUUGCCAAUUAUAAAUAGUAUAUGUACUACUUUUCAAAUUAAGUUUGAAAAAUGUACUAAAUUCCAACUUAUCUCUUUUUUUUUCCCGGUUAAAGAUUACUUGUGGGUUUUACUAAAUAAUCAUAUUUAAGUCAACUUUUGACAGAAAAAAAAAAAUUCAUAUUUAAGUUGUUUUCUGUAAAUAUUUUUGCCGGAAAAACUCUUUUAUCUUAAAAUCUAUUAAUGCAAAUUUCUCUCAAUCUGUUAAAAUAUGUCGUGAAAAUUAGACGGAUUACAGUUACAUCAAAACGUAGCAUUUUUCAUAAUUUUUUCUAAUCGACUUCGACUUUACACAUACUUCAAAGAAUUUCACUUUGAUAAAUUAGAGUUCGUCAAUUUUGGUUUUUCACUUUGAAAAUUUUAGAGCUUAGGUGAAUUUCUUCGGGGUUUAUAAUUGGCUAUUAAAAAUAUUUUGUUGUUUUUUGUUUACAGUUCGUGUUGUAAAAGUAUAUAUAUAUGUCGUUUUUCAAUUCUGAAAAAUUUGGGAAUGAAGCAUUUUUUGACAAAGUUUAUUCAAAUGAGACACUUUCAAAGGAAGAGGCUUUUUUCCAACUCUUUUACUGAAUUUGUGACCAAUUUGCCCUUGAAAAAUGAGGAACGAAGAAACCUAGCGUUUAAGUUCUAGCUAAGAUCUGAUGAUCAAGACUAUAUACACAAUUUAUUUACCCAAAAAAGGCAUAGUACCGCCUCUCUCUAUUUUUUCUUACCCUUUUUUCUUUUUUCGAGACGAAGAAGCAGGAGGUUGUUACUCUCCUCUACCAAACUGCCUCUUCCCUUAAUCUCCCCUUUAUCUCCCUCUUCUUUUGGUUAUCUGUUCUUCUCUCUUGUCUUACUAUAGUUUUUUUGGUUUCGUUGGUUUUGAAUCAUAAGGAGUUGGUUUUGUAUGGAUCAAUGGUACAUGUUAUUCGUUGAUGCAUUGCAUAUCUUGAAACUUUUUUUUUUUUUUUGUUAUGGGUUCUUAAUUUUAUCCUUCAGUUUAGAUUUAUUCUUGUUAGAUCUGUUGAAUUUAGUGCCUUCAUUUUUGAAUUGGAUGUAACUUGCAUAGACGAAGAGUGAUUGGACGCAUAAAGCUGGGUUUGUGGUGGUUUUGUAAGAAGAUUGGUUAAUGUUUAUGGCUUUUUUUGAAGCUCCGCUCUGUUAGGCUGCGGUGGCCGCUGUGAGCUCUAGUUAGAAGAGGUAGGAAAGACUAAAUUAGCCAAUUCUGGUAUUGAAUUUCAUAUAUAUUUGUUCAGCUUGUUUGUUAUUAUUUGAUUCUGGUCAUGAUUCGCGAUUUUGCUUGAGAUUAAAUCGAAUAUUUAGUGGAUGCUCUUACGAUUGAUAGUCGUGUUGUUUUAUGAAAUUUUUGAAUGAUGAAUUAAAUUUCUUUGAAAACUGCUAGGGAAGCCCAAGUAGCUAAAAAAACAUGUUAAGAAUGACAGUGAGAAGGAGAAAAAUGCAAAUUCCAUACUUGAUACUUAGGUCAGAGUUGAUUUCAAAAGCUGAGGAAGCUGAUCGGCGACACCGAUCUAUUAGAUCGUCUGCUUAAGUACAUGGUAGGUAAGGUGGCUCCAGUGGCGGAGGUACUGAAGAGGGAGGGGGUCAAUUUAUGAUUUUUUGUUUUUUAAGGUAAGUCUGAUAAUAAUUAUGGAUAUUUUGGUUUAAUUUUUCCAUAAUGACCCCAUGCCAACAAUCAAUUCUUUAGU
rnacentral:lncRNA from 1 species